rnacentral:rRNA from 1 species
AGUGAACGCUGGCGGUAGCCUCACCCAUGCCAGUCGAACGGCAGCACAGUAAGAGCUUGCUCUUACGGGUGGCGAGUGGCGGACGGGUGAGGAAUACAUCGGAAUCUACUUUUUCGUGGGGGAUAACGUAGGGAAACUUACGCUAAUACCGCAUACGACCUACGGGUGAAAGCAGGGGAUCUUCGGACCUUGCGCGAUUGAAUGAGCCGAUGUCGGAUUAGCUAGUUGGCGGGGUAAAGGCCCACCAAGGCGACGAUCCGUAGCUGGUCUGAGAGGAUGAUCAGCCACACUGGAACUGAGACACGGUCCAGACUCCUACGGGAGGCAGCAGUGGGGAAUAUUGGACAAUGGGCGCAAGCCUGAUCCAGCCAUACCGCGUGGGUGAAGAAGGCCUUCGGGUUGUAAAGCCCUUUUGUUGGGAAAGAAAAGCAGCAGGUUAAUACCCCGCUGUUCUGACGGUACCCAAAGAAUAAGCACCGGCUAACUUCGU